rnacentral:rRNA from 1 species
UUAGGAAUUUUGGGCAAUGGGCGAAAGCCUGACCCAGCAACGCCGCGUGGGUGAAGAAGGUCUUCGGAUCGUAAAGCCCUUUUCUGUGGGAAGAGGAAGGACGGUACCACAGGAAUAAGCCUCGGCUAACUACGUGCCAGCAGCCGCGGUAAUACGUAGGAGGCGAGCGUUGUCCGGAUUUAUUGGGCGUAAAGCGCGCGCAGGUGGUUAGAUAAGUUGGGUGUGAAAGACCCUGGCUCAACUAGGGGAGGCCACUCAAAACUAUCUAGCUUGAGGGCAGCAGAGGAAAGUGGAAUUCCCGGUGUAGUGGUGAAAUGCGUAGAUAUCGGGAGGAACACCAGUGGCGAAGGCGGCUUUCUGGGCUGUCACUGACGCUGAGGCGCGAAGGCGUGGGGAGCGAACCGGAUUAGAUACCCGGGUAGUCCACGCGGUAAACGAUGUGCACUAGAUCCUGGGUCCUCUGACGGAUUCAGGGUCGAAGCAAAAGUGGUAAGUGCACCGCCUGGGGAGUACGGUCG